AUUUGCAUAUAAGAGACUAUACGUGUCACCAGAUGGUUGGGCAAAGAGAUAAAAAAAUUUGAUGGUCGAUUGAUUGCUUUUCUUCCUCUUCCUCUCUCUGUCUCUCGAAUCAGAGGAGAUUCGGGUCGGAGAAGAUGUGAAUUGGAGGACAUUGAAUCAGCGGAGUGGACAUGGUAGCUUCUCAAAUGAUCCGAGGUUGAACAAUGUGGUGGGACAUCUUCUUUAUUCCUCUAUUCUUGUACCUUACCAUGGCUGGAGAAUUAGCCACAAAACCAUGGACAUGUUGAGAACGACGAAUCUUGGCAUCCUUGGGCUGAAGUCCGGGGAAAAAGGGUUCUCAUUACCAUCGGGACAGCGAAUUGUUCCUCCCUAAAGAGAAAACGGAUGUCCUCAAUUCUACAGCUUGUUGGACUACAAUGGCUGCUCUGCUUAUCUGCCUCAACUUUGUUGUUGGUCCAGUUCAAAAUGCUCAAACUCUACGGGACUUCAGCAAGUGACUAGGAUCAGUACAUUGUUUUUUUUUUUUUCUAGAAGCAUACUUUUACUGACUCAACAACCUUCUAUCAGCGUAGAUACAUCAGGUGGUUAGUGGUCUUACCUAUUUUUUGUCUGCACAGAGUUAAAUGUAUAUCGACAAGUCAAUAAGAUUAUGGUAGGCUAGUGGACAGUUGUGCUUGAAAUACAUCUUCUCAUUUGGAGCCUUUGCUCGGAAGCCCCUCCUACAAAGUGCAUCAGAGUGGAAAGUGCCAACAACUUUUAUCUACAGAAUGAAUGAUUGGAUGACCACCCUGCAACAUUUCAAAUUUGAGAAGAAAACAAUAGAGAAGAAGAUGGUGCUUAUGUGAGAUUUUUGUUUAUUUGAAAUGUUGCAGGGUGGUCAUUUCGUGUUCAUAGACAAUCCAAGUGGUUUUCAUUCUGCAGUGCUUUAUGCUUGCCGUAAAUUUAAAUCUCAAGACUCCUCUCAUGAUCAACAACUCCCAGAUGGUUUACUAUUGGUUUAGUUGUAGUAUGAUGUUCCAUUACCUUUCAAAUUUGUUACAUAUGUAUACACGUAUAUAUAAAAAGAACAUCAAAAAAAAAAAAAUUUUAUAUUCCCUUAAUGGUUGUAUUUGGAGUUCCAAGAUCUUUAUAGUUCUAAAAGUUAUAUAUCUAGUGUUUUUGAUUAAAACCUCAUGAAUGUUCCAAAUGCAAUAUUUUCCUA